rnacentral:rRNA from 1 species
UUUUAGAAAUUAAUUUAAAGUCUGACCUGCCCACUGAAAAUUUUUAAAUGGCCGCAGUAUCCUAACUGUGCAAAGGUAGCAUAAUCAUUAGUCUUUUAAUUGAAGGCUGGAAUGAAUGGUUGAAUGAAAUAUUAACUGUUUCAUAUAAAUUUAUAAUAGAAUUUUAUUUUUUAGUCAAAAAGCUAAAAUUUUAUUAAAAGACGAGAAGACCCUAUAAAUCUUUAUAUUUAAAUAAUUUUAAUUAUUUAGAUAAAUUAAAUUAUAAUUUUUUUAAAUAUUUUAUUGGGGUGAUAUUAAAAUUUAAUAAACUUUUAAUUUUUAAUUUACAUUAAUUAAUGAAUUAUUGAUCCAUUUAUUAUGAUUAAAAAAUUAAGUUACUUUAGGGAUAACAGCGUAAUUUUUUUAGAGAGUUCAUAUUGAUAAAAA